GUCUGCGUAUAAAUAACACGACUUUACACUUUCUAUUUGCGUGUAAUGCAUACGCCAAAUGCCAUUUUUGCGUGCAUAUGAUACGCCAGUCCUUCCCAUUAAUUUCGGUGGAGAGCAGAUGCGUCCAAAUAACACGCAUCAUCUUCAGCGGCAGUGACGUCACCAAGCGAGGCUCGUUCAGUUCACCUGAUGCGCGUACACCUUCAAACAGGUAAGCAAGGUUACGUCGGAUUACAUACUCCACAACAACCUGUAAUCCAGCAGAUCUUUAAAGAAGCCAUCUCUUGUAAAAUCUCUCUCUCUCUCUCUCUCUCUCUCUCGCUCUGCUAGAAUUAACAGGGAACUUCAACUCCACGCUCCCAAUGCUGAUAUUGAAGAAGCUGUCAAGGGGGCUGAACAAGUCCUUCAAAGGAUCAACCCUUCACAGGAAGGCCUGUCAUGAGAUUUGAAUUUGACCAUCUUGUGCAUUUAUGAAGAAGACCAAAAGCUGCAAAGGCAAACACUUCCAAUGGAUUUCUCACAGAUUACUUAAUCAUUCUUCAUCAGCUCUUCACAAUAUCAGCCCAUUCAAAAGCUUCCAGAUCUUCCUCUCUUGUGUGACACAUCUGCUCUCAGUCCUUUACUGCCAACCUCCAGUCUUAGCAUUUCUGCUUGUAUUCAUUUUUCCUCUACAUUCAUCACUCCAAUCUCUACUAUAAGCACUCCUGUAUAUAUAUAUAUAUAUAUAUACUCAUAAUAACUAUUAUUAUUAUUAACCAUUUAUUUGUUUUGCAUUUAUUCACAAUAGAAGCAAACAAUGAUUACAGGAUAUAUGUUUUUAAAGGUGAUAAUUGUAAAAUAUUGGAGCAUUGUUCUUAAUCAUUUUUGCCUAUUUGGUUGAUAAAGGGAAGAAAACAAUAUAUUUUCAACUGUAGCCUUGAUUAUUCUUUGGCAUCUUUUGUCAGGAUUUCUGUAAACAAAUUCCCUAUUUAUUUUUGAAUAUUAAACUUAUGUUUUUUGAAGGGAGUUUCUGUUGCAAUUUUGUUUGUUUGUUUUCACUUAGUUACCUCUAUGCAUUUUUUUUUUUUUUUAUCAACUUUUCUUUUUUUUUCAUAGUGGAAUAAACUGGAGAGAGACUGUUCUGGGCACUAUGUUUAUCUGCGAAAAGUUUGACAUAUCAAUAAACACUGUAAAAUGACUAGACAA